rnacentral:rRNA from 1 species
UACGUAGGGGGCAAGCGUUGUCCGGAAUUAUUGGGCGUAAAGAGCUCGUAGGCGGUCCUUUAAGUCGGAAGUGAAAUCUCAGGGCUCAACCCUGAAAUUGCUUUCGAUACUGGCGGACUUGAGGCAGGUAGGGGAGAGCGGAAUUCCUGGUGUAGCGGUGAAAUGCGCAGAUAUCAGGAGGAACACCGGUGGCGAAGGCGGCUCUCUGGGCCUGUACUGACGCUGAGGAGCGAAAGCGUGGGGAGCGAACAGG